GUUGGAGAGCGCAGAGGCGAUCAUGUGCACACCCCUGACAUAUCUUGGCACCCUGAAACCAAACACUGUAAGUGUAAUUAUGUAAACAAUGAGCGACGAAGCAAUGCGUCAUUUAUGUAAAAUAACCUGUAAACGCGGUACUCGUGGUAUGUGAACAUCACAUUCGCACUUUCCGGGAAAUGUCCAAGGUACUGAGUGGGUGUGUUUUGUUUAUGUCUGCCUGCGAGUGCCUGUGUUUGUGAGUGCGUGCAUGUUGCUGGGUGCUCGUGUUCGCUGUGCUCCUGCUGCCUGUCUCCGGGGAAUCGUUUGCCUCGACUAUUGAGAACUUUGACCCAAGGCUGGUUUUCAUUGAUCGGGGCUCUUCCCGCGUCGGUUCCUUAACGUGUGUUUUAAUGUGGUCCACUUGCGAGGAAGGACUUGACAGCUGGAGCUGUGGACAACGCUCUUAUGCAAGCUUCACACCAAGUUUUUCUUGGCCGAGAAUUCUGCCUUGCAUUACUGUUCUGGGGUUUCACAGUGGGACGCUGCAGUUUGGUGACUGAUCCUCAGAGAAAUGAAGUGCUCAUGAAUAUACUUUGGAACAACUAUCAAGAAAAUAAGACUGUGGAGAUAAAGGAUGAAGAAUUGAGCUCGUGUCUGAAACAAGUGAAAGACAUGUGCAAAAGAGAGUGUCACGAGCAAGGUCCUCUAUUGGUAUUCAAGUAUGUCUAUACAAUGAAGAAUUUGCCGAAAAGACUGAAAAAGGUGACAGUAAGCCGACAAUUUGUGAAAGACUGCAACCAAAAUAAGACAGAUGGCCUGCAACACCUGGUGUGCCGCAUCAAGAAAAGGUACCUGCCUCAACACAAGAACUUCCAUUCACUGCAACGUCGUAUGAAUUGCACGCAUCAAAAGCCCAAAAACAGAGUCCGAAUUGAAAUCCCAUGCUUUUUAAAUGUACUACGGAAGUGCUUUGAAGUGCAAGACAUCGGGUAAAGAACUGCAAGAACGGAGGAAUUAUAUUUAUCAUCAUGUAUACCCAAAGGAUCGAUGGUCGAUGAAACUGAUGACAGGCUGUCGAAAAGCCAUGGAUAACAGUUGCGUUUUGAGCCGGAUUAUGGAAAAGACUUUCCAAAAAAAGACAUUUAUUGCUUGAACACACAUGACUUUGUGGAUAUGGUGGACUUUUUCCUUUGAUAAUUUCUGAACUUAUGGACCUAGCGUUUUAUUUUGAACAAAGCAAAGGCUCAUGGAGGAGUAAAACGAUGGAAAAUGAGCGGGUGAGCACUCAGGACAGAAGGGAACAAGCUGACAAUUGAUGGACAUUGCAGGCGUGAUAUGGAUGAAAAGGUGACAUGGCAGGAGGUUAGUGGGAAUAUAAAGGAUCUUCAAUAGACAUGGGAGAGUGAGUGCAUGACAUGAAGGUGAGCUGCAACUGCGAAGCAGUGGAGGGAGGAAUGUGAUUGGACAGACACAGGGAGGUAGGAAAAAGAAGACAGACACAAGGAGGUAGAUUCCUGAGGUGGGGAAAACGAGAGGGACAAACAAAUGCAGGUAAGGAGAAGCCUGCAUUUUGAAAUGAUGACAAGGAAGGGUUAAUGUUGAGAUUUGCUCAGUUUCAGGUUGAAUUUCCUGAGUUAUCAUGUGGAUUAUCAUGAAUGGAGGCUAGACUAUUGGAACUGAUGGUUUGCUACGUGAAUGAAAUAGUCUGUUACUUUACGAAACAGACAUUCACACCUAUACCGAUAAUAUUCACACUUGACCUGUCAGGGUAGUGCCAAGACAGGUAGCUUUGAGUUGCGGCAAGUUAUUUCUGACUGGAAACAACUGGGAUUCAAAAGUUCGUAUUCAGAAAAUGUAUGUUUGUCAUGAAUAAUUAUUACUUAUUGCGGUUGUCAAUCAACCAACAUGUAUCGUGCACCACUCAAGGUAAUUGUACAUAUGAAAUUGUCAACAUAAUGCACUGUGGUGGCAGGAUAGCUGAGACCUACGUGUACUCACCUCUGAGCCGGCUCAUCUGGGAUCAAAUCUCGACGUAGCUAUAAACGCUUACCCUGGUGUUUUGCAGGCAGCGUGAGGCCUCAAUGUGUGUGCCGUCCUUUGGAUGGGUGAUAAACUGGGUGUCCCAUCUGCCACAAUUCUUUGGUGGACGUUAAAGAUCCUUUGCAAAGAGCAAGCAAGAUAUUGCCGGCAUCCUGGCCAAAUGACUAAUUCCUACCCGAAACGACAAGAGGAACAGGAUUCGCCACAAUGCUGCUUCCCCAGCAAAGAUGCCACUCACAGCCAUGUGCUGCAUACAAAAGAAGAACAUAAUCCAUCCUAUAACGCUGUUUAUACGUACGGCUGUAUUUAUUGCAACAUUUUUCUACCAAUUUAUUUUUAUGUAUUGUCGAAUUUAUAAAGUGGGCUCAAGUUUUUAAUUUUAUCUUUGUGUCUUGCUUUCUUUAGAGGUUAAGGCUCUUGGAAUAGAUGAACAGCAUAAGGUGGAAAGUUGAUGAAUCAACAGGAGCAGGGGAACAGAUGGACGAAGGAAACACAAAAACAUACAUAUACACGUACACACGAGGGAAAGAUUAGAUGAGAUGAGAGGCAGGUUAACGAAGGGGACAGGUUCAGCGAGGAUAGAGGAGUUCACGAGUGGGGUAUGAAGACAAAAUGAGCUGGUGAUGGACCGCUUUAUGGACACUGGCAGUACUAAAAGUGCCUGGGUUUCCUCGUCUUCGAUCUAAACCUGAUGGAAUAGGACUUAGCUAUAAAAUGCUGUCCUGAUGUUUUGUAGGCAGGAAGUUGUAACAGGUGCAAGCCUUCAGAAGGGGAAUGAAGUGGUUCACCCCAUCCGGUAGCAUUCACUUCUGAAUUUUAAAGACACUUA
ensembl:lincRNA